CCUGAUGAGGCCCUGCUCAGUCCUUCCCAUUUGUUUGCUGCAGCAUGUGGGUUAGCAUGAAGCCUCGCUAAUCCUUCUCAGUUGACUGUGUACUGGAUGCAUUACUUGAGUGUGUCGUCCUUCAGCCUGGAGUCCUGUGAUUGGAGCACAGCCGUGGACAGAAAGAACAAUCAGAGGUUAAACUAUUAACCAGGACACAGACACAUUCUGACUGAUCAGCCCACACCAUCUGCUUCCUGGGAGAAACCUUGCUGAUGCUGUAGCUCUACCUUGUGUCUGGCUGCUGUGCUUUCUUUUUUGAUGAUAUGCCUUACAAAAACUUUGUAUUUUGUCUAAUAACAUGUCCAUUUUUAACUUACUGUAUACUGUGUAUAUUGACAAAUUGUAUUUUGAUGCUUUGGAAACA